CCUACGGGUGGCUGCAGUGGGGAAUAUUGGACAAUGGGGGCAACCCUGAUCCAGCCAUGCCGCGUGUGUGAAGAAGGCCCUCGGGUUGUAAAGCACUUUCAGUGAGGAAGAACGCCUGGUGGUUAAUACCCAUCAGGAAAGACAUCACUCACAGAAGAAGCACCGGCUAACUCCGUGCCAGCAGCCGCGGUAAUACGGAGGGUGCGAGCGUUAAUCGGAAUUACUGGGCGUAAAGCGCGCGUAGGUGGCUUGAUAAGCCGGUUGUGAAAGCCCCGGGCUCAACCUGGGAACGGCAUCCGGAACUGUCAAGCUAGAGUGCAGGAGAGGAAGGUAGAAUUCCCGGUGUAGCGGUGAAAUGCGUAGAGAUCGGGAGGAAUACCAGUGGUGAAGGCUGCCUUCUGGACUGACACUGACACUGAGGUGCGAAAGCGUGGGUAGCAAACAGGAUUAGAUACCCCAGUAGUC
rnacentral:rRNA from 1 species